GGCUGAGCCCAAUUUCGCGUCUUCAUCCUCCACUCCCCUUCCUUCUCCUUCCCCUCCCCAGUUCCCCACUACCAUUAGCAAACCCAGAGACACUGCCUCAGAGAGAUCUCCCACUCGGCCCCCUCGUCGCCGUCGAGCCCUCUCCGCCCCUUCGACGGCAGCGAGCAGCAGCUACUUCCCGCGAUGGCCACCUCCGACUUCCUCUUCGACCUGCACAACCGCCGAGUGGAGUUUGCCAGGGUGUGGGGGGAUUUGUCGUUCUUUCCACGUGCUCCAGAGGCCCAGAACCGCUUCACUUCAUCUCCCGCUGCUUGGGUUUAUGUUGUCUGGAUACAAGCGGCAUCCCAUGUGUGCAUAUGAUGCUGAUAUAUAGAGGCUCUCAUUUACCAUUAAAAGUUUAAAACAGCCAAAGGAUUCUAUGGAAGGGUCAUUGCCUCCUGGUUGGCUUCCGCCCUAUCAUCAUCAGCCGGACAAGGGAUGCAAAUUUAUUCUUAGAUUCAAUUUCACGGUUUGCAGCUACGCAGUGAGUCAUAGAAAAACAAAUUAACUACAUUUAUAAGUUUGAUAAAUAUUGAUAUGUGAUAUUUGUUCUCUGUUGGGUUUUAAUGACUUGUGAAUUAUGAUACGUACAACUCAUGAAUAUGAUAAACAUCAUCUCUUGAUCAUGUAUUUCAGUCAGUUUCAAAUCUUAAUCCAAAAUAAAUUUGCACAGUGAAGCGCAAAUUCCUUAAGUUGUCUUUAGUUCCUUUGGUUACCAUGUCAUGUUAGAUUAGUUUCUGAGUGCUUUUUUAUGGUACCUUGAAUUAUUGUUGCAGUUGUUUGUACCAUGAUACUUGCUGAGAUUACCUAUGAGGAUAUAACUAUCGUAAGGUGAAAUUAAUUUCCAUGAAUCUAAAGAGCUAUCAUAUGGGCCGACAUAUUCUACUUCAAGGAAACAACAAAGUACUCACAUUAUUCACUUUAUUGUCAUGCAACUACUCCUGGUUUAUCUCUUACUGAAUGCAAAGAUGACCAUAAGAACCCGGCUUCUUCUGUAGCUACGUUCAAGCAUGGAGCAGACUAGGACGUAUGUUGAACUUUGUGCUGCUUACUUUUAGUGUAGUGGUUUCAUGAACUAUGGUUUUGCAUGAACUGGGUGCGGAGAGUUAGAUAGUGAAGAAUUGUUGUGCAUCUACUACCUUCUGCUUGAUGCAUCAUUUUACUAGUAGUUAAGUUUAGUAUCAACAUACAGUGAAUUGGCAGGUUAACAAACUAGUUCCUGACAUGUUAAUUGAACUGGAACUGUUUUAUGUCAUCUCUAGCUAAUUAUACCCUUUCCAGGCUCUAGUUUGUUAACUCCGUUCCAUUGAUUUUUUAUUGCAGCCUUCAGACCUGGAGAAGGCUCAGCUUGGCCUUUUUUCCUGUAUCUAAUGAGCCCUUCUCUCUUUCUCCCCCCUUCACCUUGGAUCUAGCCUUUUCUAUUCACAAAUGAUCUGCUACUACUAUUGUUGGUGCCAUAUAUGUGGUAUGAGAGCUGGGAAAACACCAAAACAUUCUAUCUUCAAACGAAUUUUCAGCCAAGUGUAUGUUCCUAAUACAAAUGGGUCUCAAGAUAGAAAGGAACGGUACACGGUGCAUAGGUAGAAUUGACCAAUGAUUUUGUAACUAUACAGCAUGUCCUGUUUAUCUAAUCUAUUAAAUUUUAUUUUGAAUCAAAGUAAAUAUGUCAUCCUUCUGUGUUAGCACGAAAGACUGACAAGCAUGUUUCAGUAAGAAAAAACAGUUUCUCUGGGUACUGGAGCAGUUGUACCGACAAAUAGUCUUCUUCAUGAUCUUUGAUGGCUUGAAGGGUCAGUAUAUAUUUGGUUACCUUUGGUGCUUGUUUAUAGUGCUGUUUUCUUCCUUUAUUCUGUGGCAUCAUGCUAUACUGCUUAGCGUGCGCUCUUGACUUGUUCAUCUUGAUUUGCAAUUGUCGGAUCUUCUGUCAUCUGGUGCAUUAGCUUUGCUCUAUUUUCUAUGUAUUUCUACAUGCAAUUCUGUUUUUGUUCAGUUGCCACCUCAAGCACAAAAGAUUGCUCAAGUUGAUUCUCUGGAGGGCAACUGCUGAUGCUAGAAAGGCAGAAACUGCAACAUGGUUAUCAUUUGGAAUAACAGCUCGAUCGCAUAAACAGGACUCUCCUGGCAUGGUUCACAAGCUUCGGGGUUGCGAGCCAAUGAAUGGACCACAAAACAUAGUUCCUGAUGCGGCAGAAAACAUCCUUUUAGUUUCAGUUCCUUGGAUACUAGUACAAUGUCUCUUCUCCUACGAGCAUGUAAUUAAUGGUUGUCUAUCGAGUUUCUAACAUGGAAUUAGCGGGCGAUUGUAAUAUACUUAUAUACAGAAGUGUCCAAUCGAUGUGAUGUCGCGUCACAACCUUUCACGAGAA